UAGAUACCCUGGUAGUCCGCGCCGUAAACGAUGAUUACUCGUUGUCGGCUCUUCGGAGUCGGUGACCAAGCGAAAGUGAUAAGUAAUCCACCUGGGGAGUACGCUCGCAAGGGUGAAACUCAAAGGAAUUGACGGGGGCCCGCACAAGCGGUGGAGCAUGUGGUUUAAUUCGAUGAUACGCGAGGAACCUUACCAGGGCUUAAAUGGGAGAUGAAUAAUUUGGAAACAGAUUAGCCUUCGGGCAUCUUUC
rnacentral:rRNA from 1 species